rnacentral:lncRNA from 1 species
AUUUUGUAUAGUUAUUCAGAUGAUUGCUUUGAAUUAUUAUUUAAUUAUACGCAAAGCAUAUAUGAGUCAUUUAUUUACAACUAAAAUUUCUGUAUAAAUAAGAGGGUUGAGUUACUGAUGUUAACACUGCUUCAGCUUUCACCUGAAAAGGUAUCUCCAAGAUGAAACUCUUACUUCUACUGAUUAUCUCUGCUUCAAUGCUGAUUGGUACAUAAUCAACAGCGGAAUCGCUAUUGCUGUCUUCACUGUCAUUGAAUAAAAUGCUGAAUGGAUUUCAAGACAUCAGACAGUUUGCAAUAUGCCACCUAGAUUUCAAAUAUAAACUAAAAAUAUUAAAUUUCAUGAAGCGAUUCGGCAAAGUUUCCUUGAGUCUUACAAUGGGUGAAGUUUUUUAUGUGAAUAAAAAGUUUCCCUUAAAGAUAAUGAGAACUUUAUAUUCAGUAUUUUCUGGUCUUUUAAAACUAAGAAACGUUUCAUAUCAGAGGAGAGACUGUCAAGAAAUGUUGGCUGUUAACGAAACAAAUCAAUUUUAAAAUUUGUUAGUUCUGUGUUUUCAAUCGUCCUUUCCGGCAUAUACAGUAUAUCCUUCACAUCGUGCAUUUUCAGCAGAGUGUUCAACUUUAUUUUGAUUUUUAAUUUUUUGUAAGAGGAUCAUCUUUUUGAAUCCUUUUGAAACUAGAGUGAGCGAUUCAAAUUAUUACUAUUUUUGUUUAAAUCAGUAGAUCGAUUUUCGUGCUCUUCAUAGAUUCUUAAAACUUUUGAUAAUUUUGGUGCAGAUAUAUUGAAAGCU